GACAGAGGGUGCAAACGUUGUUCGGAAUUACUGGGCGUAAAGCGCGUGUAGGCGGCUAUGUGUGUCGGGCGGUGAAAUCCCAUGGCUCAACCAUGGAAGUGCACCCGAAACUGCGUAGCUAGAGUCCUGGAGAGGAAGGUGGAAUGCUUGGUGUAGAGGUGAAAUUCGUAGAUAUCAAGCGGAACACCGGUGGCGAAGGCGGCCUUCUGGACAGUGACUGACGCUG
rnacentral:rRNA from 1 species